CGGAGUGGCGGCAUGCUUAACAUGCAGUCGAACGGCAGCACGGGUGCUUGCACCUGGUGGCGAGUGGCGAACGGGUGAGUAAUACAUCGGAACAUGUCCUGUAGUGGGGGAUAGCCCGGCGAAAGCCGGAUUAAUACCGCAUACGAUCUACGGAUGAAAGCGGGGGACCUUCGGGCCUCGCGCUAUAGGGUUGGCCGAUGGCUGAUUAGCUAGUUGGUGGGGUAAAGGCCCACCAAGGCGACGAUCAGUAGCUGGUCUGAGAGGACGACCAGCCACACUGGGACUGAGACACGGCCCAGACUCCUACGGGAGGCAGCAGUGGGGAAUUUUGGACAAUGGGCGAAAGCCUGAUCCAGCAAUGCCGCGUGUGUGAAGAAGGCCUUCGGGUUGUAAAGCACUUUUGUCCGGAAAGAAAUCCU
rnacentral:rRNA from 1 species